rnacentral:rRNA from 1 species
ACUCAAAAAAUGGAUUUUAGUCCGACCUAAAAAAUUUUUAAUCUCCCAAAAUACCAACUAAAUUUUAAAGUCAUUCAAAUAAGGUACAGCCUAUUUGAAACAGGGCACAACCUCAGCCAACGGGUAACCUAAACUUAAUAAUUAACAAGUAGGCCUAAAAGCAGCCACCUUUUAAAAUGCGUCAAAGCUUACCCAUCCUUAACUAAAAAUCUCUCUAACCCCCGACACCCCUUCACUAAUAUUGAGUAAUUCUAUAAACCUAUAGAACCUUUCAUGUUAAAACUAGUAAUAAGAAGAAGAACUUCUCUUCAAUGCAAAUGUAGAUCAGAAAGAACCCACCACUGAUAAUUAACACCCAUGACCUAAAUGUAAAAACCAACCUAGAAAACCCUACCAACUUAGAUGUUAACCUAACACAAGAGCAUUUCAAGAAAGAUUAAAAGAAACAGAAGGAACUCGGCAAAUACUAACCCCGCCUGUUUACCAAAAACAUCGCCUCUUGUAUUUCAUAAGAGGUCCAGCCUGCCCAGUGACAUUGUUCAACGGCCGCGGUAUCCUGACCGUGCGAAGGUAGCGUAAUCACUUGUUCUUUAAAUGAGGACUAGUAUGAAAGGCACCACGAGGGUUACACUGUCUCCUCUCUCCAAUCAAUGAAACUAAUCUCUCCGUGAAGAAGCGGGGAUUUAUUUAUAAGACGAGAAGACCCUAUGGAGCUUUAAACUAAACAGCACGGCUAUUAUCCAAAGAUUUCCCCCCCCAUAGCCCCCUGUUUGUUAGUCUUAGGUUGGGGCGACCACGGAGUAAAAACUAACCUCCGCGUUGAAAGGGAAACACCCUAAACGAAAACCCACAACUUUAUGUAUCAAUAAAUUGACAUCCAUUGACCCAAUUCUUUGAUCAACGAAACAAGUUACCCUAGGGAUAACAGCGCAAUCUACUUCAAGAGCCCAUAUCGACAAGUAGGUUUACGACCUCGAUGUUGGAUCAGGAUAUCCCAGUGGUGCAGCCGCUACUAACGGUUCGUUUGUUCAACGAUUAAAAUCCU